ACAGGGUCGAUUCGUCCCCUGCGGAUGGUCUGGCAGGCAUAGCGGCAAAAAACCGGGCGGAAACGGCCGGAUGGCGAAGC
ncrna:unclassified sequences RAGATH-28 RNA